ensembl:lncRNA
CACUUUGUGACACACUUUUGUUUUAAAGAAUUAAUUAUUUAAUUCAGCUUUAUGUUCAUAACAAAAUUGAGAGGAUGGUACAGACACCUACUAUAUACCCCUUGAUCUUACACAUCUAUGGCCUCCAGAAUUAUUAGUGUAACCAGAGUGGCUUCUUUCACUUAAUAAAUCUGAGAAGUGAUAGGACUCCCCCAGGAGCCCAAGGUGACAGAGAGCCUGAGCUUGGAUUCACAAUGCUUUUUGUUAAUCAGACCCUGAAUAUCAGCCUCCAUCACAGCCAGCUAUCAGGAAUCCCUGGAGUGUCUUGGUACCUUUGCUCCUGGUGAUUCUCAGGUGAUGUCCUAGGAAUGUGACGAAGGGAGAAGAGGAAGAUACCCUUCCCAGCUAGGAGAGGGGAGUCCUUCCACAAAAAGAAGAUGGAACUGCAGUAGCACAGGACUUCAUAAUAACUGGUAAUACUCGCAAUUUUUCUGCAAGAG